GACGAACGCUGGCGGCGUGCCUAACACAUGCAAGUCGAGCGAUGAAACCCUUCGGGGUGGAUUAGCGGCGGACGGGUGAGUAACACGUGGGUAACCUGCCUCAAAGAGGGGGAUAGCCUCCCGAAAGGGAGAUUAAUACCGCAUAACAUUAUUUCUUCGCACGAGGAGAUAAUCAAAGGAGUAAUCCGCUUUGAGAUGGACCCGCGGCGCAUUAGCUAGUUGGUGAGGUAAUGGCUAACCAAGGCGACGAUGCGUAGCCGACCUGAGAGGGUGAUCGGCGACAUGGGAACGGAGAUACGGUCCAGACUCCUACGGGAGGCAGCAGUGGGGAAUAUUGCGCAAUGGGGGAAACCCUGACGCAGCAACGCCGCGUGGGUGAAGAAGGCCUUCGGGUUGUAAAGCUCUGUCUUCUGGGACGAUAAUGACGGUACCAGAGGAGGAAGCCACGGCUAACUACGUGCCAGCCGCCGCCGUAA
rnacentral:rRNA from 1 species